AGGAUUUUGUGCUCAGGGCAGGAGGCCUAAAGAAUGGCUCCUAUGUUUAACACACCCAACAGGAAUCUGAGGUCAUUAUGAUGAGGGGCACACAAAACUUGUGGCCUCCCUAUGAACAAAUUCCCUACAUGU
ensembl:snoRNA